AUUGAACGCUGGCGGCAUGCUUUACACAUGCAAGUCGAACGGCAGCACGAAAGAUCUUGCUCUUUUGGUGGCGAGUGGCGAACGGGUGAGUAAUGCAUCGGAACUUACCGAGUAAUGGUGGAUAACUGUCCGAAAGUAUACCUAAUACCGCAUACGCUUUGAGAAGGAAAGUGGGGGCUCUUCGGACCUCACGUUAUUCGAUCGGCCGAUGUCUGAUUAGCUAGUUGGUGGGGUAAAGGCCUACCAAGGCGACGAUCAGUAGCGGGUCUGAGAGGAUGAUCCGCCAGACUGGGACUGAGACACGGCCCCGACUCUUACGGGAGGCAGCAGUGGGGACUUUUGGACGAUGGGGGAAAGCCGGAUCAAGCCAUGCCGCGUGUAUGAAGAAGGACUUCGGGUUGUAAAGGAAUUUUGUUAGGGAAGAAAAGGGUAGUGUUAAUACCAUAAUCUGCUGACGGUACCUAAAGAAUAAGCACCGGCUAACUACGUG
rnacentral:rRNA from 1 species